rnacentral:rRNA from 1 species
ACGAACGCUGGCGGCGUGCUUAACACAUGCAAGUCGAACGGAAAGGCCCUGCUUUUGUGGGGUGCUCGAGUGGCGAACGGGUGAGUAACACGUGAGUAACCUGCCCUUGACUUUGGGAUAACUUCAGAAAACUGGGGCUAAUACCGGAUAGGAGCUCCUGCUGCAUGGUGGGGGUUGGAAAGUUUCGGCGGUUGGGGAUGGACUCGCGGCUUAUCAGCUUGUUGGUGGGGUAGUGGCUUACCAAGGCUUUGACGGGUAGCCGGCCUGAGAGGGUGACCGGCCACAUUGGGACUGAGAUACGGCCCAGACUCCUACGGGAGGCAGCAGUGGGGAAUAUUGCACAAUGGGCGGAAGCCUGAUGCAGCAACGCCGCGUGCGGGAUGACGGCCUUCGGGUUGUAAACCGCUUUCGCCUGUGACGAAGCGUGAGUGACGGUAAUGGGUAAAGAAGCACCGGCUAACUACGUG